UACGUAGGGUCCGAGCGUUGUCCGGAAUUAUUGGGCGUAAAGAGCUCGUAGGCGGCUUGUUGCGUCGACUGUGAAAGCCCGUGGCUUAACCGCGUGGUCUGCAGUCGAUACGGGCAGGCUAGAGUUCGGUAGGGGAGACUGGAAUUCCUGGUGUAGCGGUGAAAUGCGCAGAUAUCAGGAGGAACACCGGUGGCGAAGGCGGGUCUCUGGGCCGAUACUGACGCUGAGGAGCGAAAGCGUGGGGAGCGAACAGG
rnacentral:rRNA from 1 species